rnacentral:rRNA from 1 species
AUUGUGUGAAUACAUAGCACAUUCGAGGUAGACGCAGAGAACUGAAACAUCUAAGUACCUGCAGGAAGAGAAAGAAAAUUCGAUUCCCUGAGUAGCGGCGAGCGAAACGGGAAAAGCCCAAACCAGCAAGCUUGCUUGUUGGGGUUGUAGGACUCCAAUAUGGUAGUUCUUUCAGAUAGUCGAAUGACUUGGAAAAGUCAGUCAAAGAGGGUAAAAACCCCGUAGACGAAAUGUGGAAGACACCUAGGAGGAUCCUGAGUACGGCGGAACACGAGAAAUUCCGUCGGAAUCCGGGAGGACCAUCUCCCAAGGCUAAAUACUCCCUAGUGACCGAUAGUGAACCAGUACCGUGAGGGAAAGGUGAAAAGCACCCCGGAAGGGGAGUGAAAUAGAACCUGAAACCGUGUGCCUACAACAAGUCAAAGCCCGUUAAUGGGUGAUGGCGUGCCUUUUGUAGAAUGAACCGGCGAGUUACGAUUGCAUGCGAGGUUAAGUUGAAGAGACGGAGCCGCAGCGAAAGCGAGUCUGAAUAGGGCGUUUGAGUAUGUAGUCGUAGACCCGAAACCAUGUGAUCUACCCAUGUCCAGGUUGAAGGUGCGGUAAAACGCACUGGAGGACCGAACCCACGUACGUUGAAAAGUGCGGGGAUGAGGUGUGGGUAGCGGAG